UACGUAGGGGGCAAGCGUUGUCCGGAAUUAUUGGGCGUAAAGAGCGUGUAGGCGGCCAGAUAAGUCCGCUGUGAAAUCUCGAGGCUCAACUUCGAGCUGUCGGUGGAAACUAUCUGGCUAGAGUCCGGAAGAGGAGAAUGGAAUUCCUGGUGUAGCGGUGAAAUGCGCAGAUAUCAGGAGGAACACCGGUGGCGAAGGCGGGAUCCUGGGCCAGUACUGACGCUGAGGAGCGAAAGCGUGGGGAGCAAACAGG
rnacentral:rRNA from 1 species